rnacentral:rRNA from 1 species
UACGAAGGUGGCAAGCGUUGUUCGGAUUUACUGGGCGUACAGGGAGCGUAGGCGGUUGGGUAAGCCCUCCGUGAAAUCUUCGGGCCUAACCCGGAAAGUGCGGAGGGGACUGCUCGGCUAGAGGAUGGGAGAGGAGCGCGGAAUUCCCGGUGUAGCGGUGAAAUGCGUAGAGAUCGGGAGGAAGGCCGGUGGCGAAGGCGGCGCUCUGGAACAUUUCUGACGCUGAGGCUCGAAAGCGUGGGGAGCAAACAGG